UGCAAGUCGAACGGUGAAGCUCCAGCUUGCUGGAGUGGAUCAGUGGCGAACGGGUGAGUAACACGUGAGCAACCUGCCCCAAACUCUGGAAUAAGCACUGGAAACGGUGUCUAAUACUGGAUACGAGACCAACCUGCAUGGGUAUGGUUUGGAAAGUUUUUCGGUUUGGGAUGGGCUCGCGGCCUAUCAGCUUGUUGGUGAGGUAAUGGCUCACCAAGGCGACGACGGGUAGCCGGCCUGAGAGGGCGACCGGCCACACUGGGACUGAGACACGGCCCAGACUCCUACGGGAGGCAGCAGUGGGGAAUAUUGCACAAUGGGCGAAAGCCUGAUGCAGCGACGCCGCGUGAGGGAUGACGGCCUUCGGGUUGUAAACCUCUUUCAGCAGGGAAGAAGCGAAAGUGACGGUACCUGCAGAAGAAGCACCGGCUAACUACGUGCCAGCAGCCGCGGUAAUACGUAGGGUGCGAGCGUUGUCCGGAAUUAUUGGGCGUAAAGAGCUUGUAGGCGGUUUGUCGCGUCUGCUGUGAAAAUCCGGGGCUCAACCCCGGACUUGCAGUGGGUACGGGCAGACUAGAGUGUGGUAGGGGAGACUGGAAUUCCUGGUGUAGCGGUGAAAUGCGCAGAUAUCAGGAGGAACACCGAUGGCGAAGGCAGGUCUCUGGGCCACUACUGACGCUGAGAAGCGAAAGCAUGGGGAGCGAACAGGAUUAGAUACCCUGGUAGUCCAUGCCGUAAACGUUGGGAACUAGGUGUGGGUCUCAUUCCACGAGAUCCGUGCCGCAGCUAACGCAUUAAGUUCCCCGCCUGGGGAGUACGGCCGCAAGGCUAAACUCAAGGAAUUGACGGGGCCCGCACAAGCGGCGGAGCAUGCGGAUUAAUUCGAUGCAACGCGAAGAACCUUAC
rnacentral:rRNA from 1 species